rnacentral:rRNA from 1 species
UACGGAGGGUGCAAGCGUUGUCCGGAUUUAUUGGGUUUAAAGGGUGCGUAGGCGGCUAUCUAAGUCAGUGGUGAAAUCCUGCAGCUUAACUGUAGAACCGCCAUUGAUACUGGAUGGCUUGAGUACAGACGAGGUAGGCGGAAUUUAUGGUGUAGCGGUGAAAUGCAUAGAUACCAUAAAGAACACCGAUUGCGAAGGCAGCUUACUAGGCUGUAACUGACGCUGAGGCACGAAAGUGUGGGGAUCAAACAGG